rnacentral:rRNA from 1 species
GACGAACGCUGGCGGCGUGCUUAACACAUGCAAGUCGAACGAAAAGAGGGAAAGAGCUUGCUCUUUCCGGAAUUGAGUGGCAAACGGGUGAGUAACACGUAAACAACCUGCCUUCAGGAUGGGGACAACAGACGGAAACGACUGCUAAUACCGAAUAAGUUCCAAGGGCCGCAUGGCCCAUGGAAGAAAAGGUGGCCUCUACCUGUAAGCUAUCGCCUGAAGAGGGGUUUGCGUCUGAUUAGCUGGUUGGAGGGGUAACGGCCCACCAAGGCGACGAUCAGUAGCCGGUCUGAGAGGAUGAACGGCCACACUGGAACUGAGACACGGUCCAGACUCCUACGGGAGGCAACAGUGGGGAAUCUUCCGCAAUGGGCGAAAGCCUGACGGAGCAACGCCGCGUGAGUGAUGACGGCCUUCGGGUUGUAAAACUCUGUGAUCCGGGACGAAAAGGCAGAGUGCGAAGAACAAACUGCAUUGACGGUACCGGAAAAGCAAGCCACGGCUAACUACGUG